ACAUUCUGGUUCCUGUAUGAUCACCAAAGUUAAGCAAGGUUGAACCUAGUCAGUACCUAGAUGGGUGACCACUUGAGAAUACCAGGUACUGUAAG